rnacentral:piRNA from 1 species
UGCCAUGCUUGUUGUCCCUAAGCCUGGGUU